rnacentral:tRNA from 22 species
GGGCGCGUAGCUCAGCGGUAGAGCACACCCUUCACACGGGUGGGGUCGCAGGUUCAAUCCCUGCCGCGCCCACCA